GAGUUUGAUCUUGGCUCAGAGCGAACGCUGGCGGCAGGCUUAACACAUGCAAGUCGAGCGGGCCCUUCGGGGUCAGCGGCGGACGGGUGAGUAACGCGUGGGAACGUGCCUUCUGGUUCGGAAUAACCCUGGGAAACUAGGGCUAAUACCGGAUACGCCCUCUUGGGGGAAAGGUUUACUGCCCGGAAGAUCGGCCCGCGUCUGAUUAGCUAGUUGGUGGGGUAAUGGCCUACCAAGGCGACGAUCAGUAGCUGGUCUGAGAGGAUGAUCAGCCACACUGGGACUGAGACACGGCCCAGACUCCUACGGGAGGCAGCAGUGGGGAAUAUUGGACAAUGGGCGCAAGCCUGAUCCAGCCAUGCCGCGUGAGUGAUGAAGGCCUUAGGGUUGUAAAGCUCUUUUAUCCGGGACGAUAAUGACGGUACCGGAGGAAUAAGCCCCGGCUAACUUCGUGCCAGCAGCCGCUGU
rnacentral:rRNA from 1 species